GGAUUGUGGCUCAGUGGUAGAGCUCUUGCCUAGCAUGCAUGGGGCACUGGAUUUGAUCCCCAGCACCA
rnacentral:tRNA from 1 species